rnacentral:rRNA from 1 species
UAGGGAAUCUUCGGCAAUGGACGGAAGUCUGACCGAGCAACGCCGCGUGAGUGAAGAAGGUUUUCGGAUCGUAAAGCUCUGUUGUUAGAGAAGAACGUUGGUAGGAGCGGAAAAUCUACCAAGUGACGGUAACUAACCAGAAAGGGACGGCUAACUACGUGCCAGCAGCCGCGGUAAUACGUAGGUCCCGAGCGUUGUCCGGAUUUAUUGGGCGUAAAGCGAGCGCAGGCGGUUCUUUAAGUCUGAAGUUAAAGUCAGUGGCUUAACCAUUGUACGCUUUGGAAACUGGAGGACUUGAGUGCAGAAGGGGAGAGUGGAAUUCCAUGUGUAGCGGUGAAGUGCGUAGAUAUAUGGAGGAACACCGGUGGCGAAAGCGGCUCUCUAGUCUGUAACUGACGCUGAGGCUCGAAAGCGUGGGGAGCAAACAGG